rnacentral:misc_RNA from 1 species
GAUGAAGAACGCAGCGAAAUGCGAUAAGUAAUGCGAAUUGCAGAAUUCAGUGAGUCAUCGAAUCUUUGAACGCACAUUGCGCCCUGUGGUAUUCCGCAGGGCAUGCCUGUUCGAGCGUCAUUUCAACCCUCAAGCUCUGCUUGGUGUUGGACCCUGCCCGCUGCGGCCGGCCCUAAAGACAGUGGCGGUGCCGCCUGGCCCUGAGCGUAGUACAUCUCUCGCUCCAGUGCCCGGUGGUAGCCUGCCAGAACCCCAACUCUCGUGGUUGACCUCGGAUCAGGUAGGGAUACCCGCUGAACUUAAGCAUAUCAAUAAGCGGAGGA